rnacentral:rRNA from 1 species
GACAGAGGUGCCAAGCCGUUAGGCGGAAUCACUGGGCUUAAAGGCGUGUGUAGGCGGGUGCCUAAGUACCUUGUGAAAUCCCACGGCUCAACCGUGGAACUGCUGGGUAUACUGGGUGCCUUGGGUCAUCUAGGGGCUGCCGGAACAAAUGGUGGAGCGGUGAAAUGCGUAGAUAUCAUUUGGAACGCCAACGGCGAAAGCAGGCAGCUGGGGAUGCACCGACGCUGAGACACGAAAGCCAGGGGAGCGAACGGG